CUUUUUGAUUAUAAUUUAAGGUCCAACCUGCCCAAUGAUUUUAUUAAAUGGCCGCGGUAUUUUGACCGUGCAAAGGUAGCAUAAUCAUUAGUUUUUUAAUUGAAAGCUGGAAUGAAAGGUUAGAUGAGAAAAUAACUGUCUCUAUUUAAGUUUAUUAGAAUUUUAUUUUUAAGUAAAAAAGCUUAAAUAAAUAUAAAAGACGAGAAGACCCUAUAGAGUUUUAUAAUUUUAUUAUUUAGAGUUUUUAGGAUUAUAAUAUUUAAGBAUUAAAAUUAUUUAAUUGGGGUGAUUGAAAAAUUAGAUAAACUUUUUUUUAUAAAAACAUUUAUUUAUGAUUAUAUGAUCCUUAAUUYAAGAUUAUAAGAAUAAAUUACCUUAGGGAUAACAGCGUAAUUUUUUUUGAGAGUUCAAAUCGAAAAAAAAGAUUGCGACCUCGAUGUUGGAUUAAAAUUAAUUUUUGGUGUAGGAGCUAAA
rnacentral:rRNA from 1 species